AAUGAUUGUGAAGAAUUUAAAAAGAAUGUUUUUCUUUCUAUGCAGUGACAUGUACUAAAGCCACACAUAGUAACAGUAGAGCGAUGCCUUCGGUAACGACGACGGUGGAAUAAAUCUGUCUUCAUUAAGUCGUCUUUUAACUUGGUGAAAAAUAAGACAUGGACCCAGAGCUCUGUUGUGUGCUGUUUGGAUCAUUUUGCUUGAAACUUGCUAUGUUUUGCUAUGUGGAUCAGAGGAUGUGAGACCAUCUACAAGAGCAGAAAGUUGGCUCAGUUGCAGAAGGUCCAUACAAGAGGUUCUCCAAAGGAUCACUACCGAGCAUAUCCUGAAUCAUGCCAACGCGACGGCGGUAUGGAGCAGGUACCCCUGGGUUCUCUGGGCGCUCGGACGAGCGGAGCAGUAUAGAACCCUGAGCUCGUCUCCAAACCCCCAGGAGUGGCCCAGGCCCAG